UAUCAAGAAAUGAAGGUGUGUAUAUUUCGAUUAAAAUAGAAAAAAAUAUUUAAAACUUUUUUGUUUCACCCUAUAGCAACGCCCGUGCGGGAGUGCAAGAGAAUAUUUUUACUGGAAACGAAAGCUAACCUUUGUGGACACAUUUUCAUCUCAUAUAUGAUUAUAAUAUUUAUAACCUUUUAGUUUGACUCUAUAGCAACCCUUGUACGGGGCUGCAAAUGAAUAUUUUCUAUGGAAACUGGUUUUUUACGGCAGUAUUUUCAGGCACAAAAGGAAUUAAGGUGUAGAAAGCGUUGUUAAAAAAAUUAGCAACAAGUGCAGAGUUAAUAUUAUGCUGAAUUUCAGCACACGGAUCGACGUCGUUUUUUAAGAAUUUUAGUCCUUGGUCCUUUCAGCGCUAUAUACACGAUACCAGCUAAUUUUUCCCGAAUUUUAUUUUUUUAUAAACUUAUUGGUUUAACCUCCAUUGAAAAUGUAAAUAAAGUCGAAUUCACGAAAUGUGACUCUAAAAGUGUAAAUAUAACUUUGAGGUACUAGAUAUCGCACUGGAAACAUCUAAAUGGAAAAAAGGUUCAACAAGCACCUCAUACAGAUAGAACGCUCUUUCUUUCAUCGCAAGUCUACUAAUUGCAGAAAGUUUCGCCUCCCAAAUAUAUAAUUAUGAAAAGUACCAAUGGACAAUUUCGUUAAAAAACUGUAGGUAUUGGAAAACCAGAAAUGUUCGGGAUUUUUUAAAAGUAUCCACACUCCAGACUGGUUUUGUAGACAAGAUUAUGGUUUAUGUCACAACUACGACUUACCUUUAAU